AUAAGGCAGAAAAUUAAUUCAAAGCCAAGGGAUCAAAACAUAGAAAUUUACAGCGUGUCAAAUGUACUAGAAACAAUAUCUGGUGGUUACUGAGCAUUAAGAUCUGGCUACAGUAAGAGCCUGGUCAGAGGAGAAUUGUUGGGUGCACAUGUGGAGUUUUGUGGAGAUGUGUCCAGACGUUUCAGUCUUUAUUGCUUGUCGUGUCCCUCCUUAUUUGAAGAAACUUCUCUGUGCCAAGAUCUUCUUCAGAGGAGAAAAAGCAUUUAAUUUUCAGUUGUGUGUGUAGGAGACAAGAAAGAUGGACUGUUGUGGAAAGAAUUGUGUCUACACCUCCAGGCAAGGAAUCUGAACUAUGUCCAAGAGGACUAGGAGAACUGCCAACAGAACACAGUUGAAAAGUUCAAGCCUCAGGAAGAGGCAGAUUUCAUUAAGAAGGAUCCCAGACCCAUUUCAAAAGAAGAACUGAGCAUGCCCAGAGGGGUGUGGAGCUCAUUACCAUAUGAUGCAAGUGGGUGGAGUCAGGCAAUGAAUAUGUAUUAGGUGUGCUGUGUGCAUAUUAGGUAUGCUGAUAUGCAUAUUCUAUGCAUAUGUAAUACUUUAAGGAAUAAAUAGAGAAUGAUGGGCAGUGGUGGGGUGCGCACGUCUUUGAGACGUGACUUUGUGUGCUGCCUGGCUGUAAUAAAAGCAUACCCUCCCUAACUUUAAACAGGUAGAGAGUCCUUUGUCCGUGAUUUUACUGCUUCAUUGUGAUUUGACAUAAUUCAGAAGAAAACUUUUACUCAA